UGCAGUCCCGUCAAAUUCAGUCCCUGCCCCCUCUGUGGUUGGGGCCGGCCAUCCGGCUGCCACAGCAGAGCUGUAGUCUGUGCCCCACGUCCCUUCCUGUGGGACUCUGGGGACAAAAUGGUGCCACAGACAGGC